rnacentral:rRNA from 1 species
GCAGUCGAACGAACUCUGGUAUUGAUUGGUGCUUGCAUCAUGAUUUACAUUUGAGUGAGUGGCGAACUGGUGAGUAACACGUGGGAAACCUGCCCAGAAGCGGGGGAUAACACCUGGAAACAGAUGCUAAUACCGCAUAACAACUUGGACCGCAUGGUCCGAGUUUGAAAGAUGGCUUCGGCUAUCACUUUUGGAUGGUCCCGCGGCGUAUUAGCUAGAUGGUGGGGUAACGGCUCACCAUGGCAAUGAUACGUAGCCGACCUGAGAGGGUAAUCGGCCACAUUGGGACUGAGACACGGCCCAAACUCCUACGGGAGGCAGCAGUAGGGAAUCUUCCACAAUGGACGAAAGUCUGAUGGAGCAACGCCGCGUGAGUGAAGAAGGGUUUCGGCUCGUAAAACUCUGUUGUUAAAGAAGAACAUAUCUGAGAGUAACUGUUCAGGUAUUGACGGUAUUUAACCAGAAAGCCACGGCUAACUACGUGCCAGCAGCCGCGGUAAUACGUAGGUGGCAAGCGUUGUCCGGAUUUAUUGGGCGUAAAGCGAGCGCAGGCGGUUUUUUAAGUCUGAUGUGAAAGCCUUCGGCUCAACCGAAGAAGUGCAUCGGAAACUGGGAAACUUGAGUGCAGAAGAGGACAGUGGAACUCCAUGUGUAGCGGUGAAAUGCGUAGAUAUAUGGAAGAACACCAGUGGCGAAGGCGGCUGUCUGGUCUGUAACUGACGCUGAGGCUCGAAAGUAUGGGUAGCAAACAGGAUUAGAUACCCUGGUAGUCCAUACCGUAAACGAUGAAUGCUAAGUGUUGGAGGGUUUCCGCCCUUCAGUGCUGCAGCUAACGCAUUAAGCAUUCCGCCUGGGGAGUACGGCCGCAAGGCUGAAACUCAAAGGAAUUGACGGGGGCCCGCACAAGCGGUGGAGCAUGUGGUUUAAUUCGAAGCUACGCGAAGAACCUUACCAGGUCUUGACAUACUAUGCAAAUCUAAGAGAUUAGACGUUCCCUUCGGGGACAUGGAUACAGGUGGUGCAUGGUUGUCGUCAGCUCGUGUCGUGAGAUGUUGGGUUAAGUCCCGCAACGAGCGCAACCCUUAUUAUCAGUUGCCAGCAUUAAGUUGGGCACUCUGGUGAGACUGCCGGUGACAAACCGGAGGAAGGUGGGGAUGACGUCAAAUCAUCAUGCCCCUUAUGACCUGGGCUACACACGUGCUACAAUGGAUGGUACAACGAGUUGCGAACUCGCGAGAGUAAGCUAAUCUCUUAAAGCCAUUCUCAGUUCGGAUUGUAGGCUGCAACUCGCCUACAUGAAGUCGGAAUCGCUAGUAAUCGCGGAUCAGCAUGCCGCGGUGAAUACGUUCCCGGGCCUUGUACACACCGCCCGUCACACCAUGAGAGUUUGUAACACCCAAAGUCGGUGGGGUAACCUUUUAGGAACCAGCC